rnacentral:rRNA from 1 species
ACGUAGGAGACGAGCGUUAUCCGGAAUUACUGGGCGUAAAGCGCGAGUAGGCGGAAGUGCAAGUCUUUUGUGAAAGCUCCUGGCUAAACUGGGAGAGGUCGAAAGAUACUGCACAUCUGGAGUAUGGAAGAGGGGUGCGGAAUUCCGGGUGUAGUGGUGAAAUGCGUAGAUAUCCGGAGGAACACCAGUGGCGAAGGCGGCACCCUGGUCCAAGACUGACGCUAAGACGCGAAAGCAUGGGGAGCGAACGG